UACAGAGGUCUCAAGCGUUGUUCGGAUUCAUUGGGCGUAAAGGGUGCGUAGGCGGCGCGGUAAGUCGGGUGUGAAAUCUUGGAGCUUAACUCCGAAAUUGCACUGGAUACUGCUCUGCUAGAGGGCUGGAGAGGAGAUCGGAAUUCACGGUGUAGCAGUGAAAUGCGUAGAUAUCGUGAGGAAGACCAGUGGCGAAGGCGGAUCUCUGGACAGCUCCUGACGCUGAGGCGCGAAGGCUAGGGGAGCAAACGGG
rnacentral:rRNA from 1 species